GCAGGUCAGUAUGCCCCGAAACUCCUGGGCCACACGCGGGCUGCAAUGGUAGGGACAAUAGGUUCCGACCUCGAAAGAGGAAGGCAAUCCCCAAACCCUACCCCAGUUGUGAUCGAGGAUUGAAACCCGUCCUCGUGAAUAUGGAAUCCCUAGUAACCGCGUGUCAUCACCGCGCGGUGAAUACGUCCCUGCUCCUUGCACACACCGCCCGUCGCUUCACCCGAGUUGGGUCAGGACGAGGUCAUCUCAUGUUGUGGUG
rnacentral:rRNA from 1 species